UGGACCAAUGAUGACAGUAGUCCUGAACAAAGGAUUAUAAUUAAUCCAAAUCUGUGCUCCUAAGUCCAUU
rnacentral:snoRNA from 1 species